CAUUUCUGUCUCCCAAUCACACAGGAGUCAUAUCAGUGUUGACACAUCACAUAUUGAAGCAACAUUUACACCAAACAUGAGAACAUUGUGGACCUUCGCUUUAUUAUUUAUUCUGGUCAUCAAUAUAGAAGGCCAGGAAAACCCAGAACCUGACACAGAUGUCGGAAUUUUGGAACAAGAUAUAGACGAGCUGGAAUCGAAUUUACAGAACUUUGAGCAUGUAAAUCCCGUGUUUCUCAGAAUCAAUGGAAAAAAAUAAUGCUACAUACAAUACCAGGACCCCGUGUAUUUCCUGUUCAAACGCAGUGCGCAUGACCCAUAAUAGUGAAUAUAAACAUACCAUGUAUAGAAAUGUGCAUGUUCACGAGAUUAACUGAAUAAAUACAAUGAGUAUCUGCUUAUGAAAUCAAAA